GUAAGCCUACGGGGCGCAGCAGUAGGGAAUCUUCCACAAUGGGCGAAAGCCUGAUGGAGCAACGCCGCGUGGGUGAAGAAGGUCUUCGGAUCGUAAAACCCUGUUGUUAGAGAAGAAAGUGCGUGAGAGUAACUGUUCACAUUUCGACGGUAUCUAACCAGAAAGCCACGGCUAACUACGUGCCAGCAGCCGCGGUAAUACGUAGGUGGCAAGCGUUAUCCGGAUUUAUUGGGCGUAAAGGGAACGCAGGCGGCCUUUUAAGUCUGAUGUGAAAGCCUUAGGCUUAACCGGAGUAGUGCCUUGGA
rnacentral:rRNA from 1 species